AGCUGCGUGGCAGGUACAUAGCGAAUUAUUCUUUCGCCUUUUACUAAAGAGUACCGUGUGCCUACCACAUAAAGCAGCAUAUAAAUAUUUUUGGAGGGCUUUCUUUGUUUCGAAGUGC